UACGGAGGGUGCGAGCGUUAUCCGGAAUCACUGGGUUUAAAGGGUACGUAGGCGGUUAAUUAAGUCAGCAGUGAAAGCCUGUCGCUCAACGACGGAUGUGCUGUUGAUACUGGUUAACUUGAAAUGGGUUAGGGUUGGCGGAAUGGGUCAUGUAGCGGUGAAAUGCUUAGAUAUGACUUGGAACACCGAAAGCGAAGGCAGCUGACCGAACCUUGUUUGACGCUGAGGUACGAAAGUGUGGGUAGCGAACAGG
rnacentral:rRNA from 1 species